rnacentral:rRNA from 1 species
GAUGAACGCUGGCGGCGUGCCUAAUACAUGCAAGUCGAGCGAACAGAUGAGGAGCUUGCUCCUCUGACGUUAGCGGCGGACGGGUGAGUAACACGUGGGUAACCUACCUAUAAUACUGGGAUAACUUCGGGAAACCGGAGCUAAUACCGGAUAAUAUCUUUAACCGCAUGGUUCAGUAGUGAAAGACGGUUUUGCUGUCACUUAUAGAUGGAUCCGGGCCUCAUUAGCUAGUUGGUAAGGUAACGGCUUACCAAGGCGACGAUGCGUAGCCGACGUGAGAGGGUGAUCGGCCACAGAGGAUAUACGACAAGAUUCAGACUCAGACGGGAGGCAGAAGUCGGCAAUAUGCAGCAGUGGGCGAUAGCUCACAGUAGACACGAGGCGUGUGCGACGACGGUCUGUGGAUCGUAACAGCCUGUUAUUUGGGAACACCAAACGCGAAAGUCAAAACGCAUGUCUGGCGGGUCCUUAAGAAGAAGCACCGGCUAACUUCGUU